AUUCAGGGAUGCUCCCGCCAUAGCUGGUGCUGGUUUUGGCAGCAGGGGCUGUUUGUCCUUGUCACAUCACUCGGUGGGGCCCAGCCACCAUCACCCCGUAAAGCUCCAGCCAAGUACCAGCGGGUUUUCCAUAAUCCCAGUGAUUUGCCAGGCUUUGGCCAGGGUGUUCCUAAUGGCCGCGGAGCAUGGGCACCACAUUUUGGGGCUUUCAGUAUUAUUCUUCCAGCUCUCCAAAUAAUUUCAGAGCUCUCAGGGCUCCACAACCUCCCGGAGGGAUAAAGGAGCAAGCGGCACCCACCAGCUGGAGCAACAGAGGGUAAACACCGAGGGCCACCCGAAACGCAUAGUAGAUGCAAAAAUCGUGGCUGACACUUUUAUUCCUUGCAGAGACAAGAAGCGGAAACUCCAAGGAGGAGCUGGACCCCAGAGGUCCUUUAAGCCAAGCCUGCAGCUUGACCAGCACGCAGAUCCAUACACCCAGACAUCACAGCUAGCCCGCAUGCACGACUUGCCCUGCACCCUGGGUGAGCUGGGUGUUGGAGGGAGCCC